GACGAACGCUGGCGGCGCGCUUAAUACAUGCAAGUCGAACGAGAAGCCAGAGCUUGCUCUGGUGGAAAGUGGCGAACGGGUGAGUAACACGUGAGAAACCUGCCCAAAGAUUGGGAUAAGCCUUGGAAACGAGGUCUAAUACCAAAUACCUUCCUUUUAACACAUGUUAAAAAGAAGAAAUGCUCCGGCGCUUUGGGAUGGUCUCGCGAUCUAUCAGCUUGUUGGUGAGGUAACGGCUCACCAAGGCAUCGACGGAUAGCUGGUCUGAGAGGAUGUCCAGCCACAUUGGAACUGAGACACGGUCCAAACUCCUACGGGAGGCAGCAGUAGGGAAUCUUGCACAAUGAGGGAAACCUUGAUGCAGCGACGCCGCGUGCGGGACGAAGGCCCUAGGGUUGUAGACCGCUUUCAGUAGGGACGAAAGUGACGGUACCUACAGAAGAAGCCCCGGCCAACUAUGUGCCAGCAGCCGCGGUAAU
rnacentral:rRNA from 1 species